UACGGAGGGGGCUAGCGUUGUUCGGAAUUACUGGGCGUAAAGCGCACGUAGGCGGCUUUGCAAGUCAGAGGUGAAAGCCCGGGGCUCAACCCCGGAAUUGCCUUUGAGACUGCAUCGCUAGAAUUGUGGAGAGGUAAGUGGAAUUCCGAGUGUAGAGGUGAAAUUCGUAGAUAUUCGGAAGAACACCAGUGGCGAAGGCGACUUGCUGGACACAUAUUGACGCUGAGGUGCGAAAGCGUGGGGAGCAAACAGG
rnacentral:rRNA from 1 species